CAUAUAAGCGGGAGGCGGGCAGCAGGCAGCCCUUUCGGCGGGACGCGGCGGGUGCUCCAUCCCGCGCCAUGUCGCAGCGAAGCUUCCCCAGGGCGGUCCGUGAGGCGGCGGCGGCCGAUCCCGCCCCUCCGCUGCUCCCCGCCGCUGAGGAAGGGAACGACACGUGGCUGCGGCCCCGCAGAGCCCCUGUGCGGGGGGGAGGAGGAAGGUGUGGCUGAGAGAAAGCCAGUGACAGGGCAGAGCCAGGAGGUGCUCUCAAGGACCUGAGUUACUUUUGAGAAUGGGACUUGAGUUCUGGAACUUGCUUCAGACGUUGAAGGUGAAGUGCAAGAGCAGCUGUUGAUCAGAACAAGACACUUCUGUUGAGAGCUUAGACUUCUCAUGUAUUAGAGUGCCUGAGGUUCUCAGAACAGAGCUGGUACCACUGCAGUCUGACCCAGACCACUACUGAAAGGUGCUUGUCCUGGGUGUGCAAGGUGCUGCCAUUGUGUCUUCAGCAUCAUGAAGAAAAAAAGAUGAUGCUUUGAGCUUUAGAAUUUCUAGCAAACGACAUGGUUGGCAAUAUCUGCAUUUGAAGAGUCUGGACAGUCCCAAACCUUCCAUCCUUUCUCACCCAUGGCCUGAAGCAUCUCAAGAGCCAAGCAGAGGCAACACCACACUGCUGGCACUUCUGAGCAGUUGCUGCAACCUCGGUGGUCCCAUCAGAGCUGCCCUGCUCCAAGUGUCCUCAAAUGCCUGAAUAAUGAAAACCAGAGCUGUCCUGCUCCAGUGGCCUUUCUGCUUUUGCUGGGCUGUGUUGAGCAGCUGCAGUCUUGCCCUGUCCUCUCUGCUCAUACCAGAGCCAUAUUCUGGUGUUUCAAUCCUUUUUCUCUACAUGGUAAAGGACUUAAAAAAACCCACCCAAGCUAAAUAAAGAUGCCACCUACAGUCA